rnacentral:lncRNA from 13 species
GCUCGGGCAACAGGGGCACGACAGCCCCAUGGAAAUACAGAGGCCCCUGUCCACGCACAAGCGCCAUUCAAAGGGAAGUAUUUUCCUGACAGAAUCCCAGCUCAGUGUUCUUUCCUUUCCCCGUUUUAUAUUUUUCCACCCCCACUUCACCAGAAAUCUUUUUUAACCUCCUCAGAGCCUUGGGGGAAAAGACCCAUUAAUUUGCAAAUCAUCUGAUCUGUGAAAGGAUCAAGAUGCCUGGUUUUCACUGCUAAAUCCAAUGUCUUGAGUGGACACAUAGGCACACACAAGCCUGCCAUGCUGCCAACCCUUGGGAGCAUAGGUGCCAGAUCUGAAACCAAGAAAAGACUCCCUCUCCUCCUGGGACCUGCAGCCAAAUUAAGCCUUAGAUUCCAAACUGCAUAAUGUUCAUAUUUUUAAACCUGGAGAGAAGUGGGGAGAUGAAGGGGGACAAAAGAGGGGGAAGUUUGUUAAUUUACAUGUUCUAUUCAGGACUCAGACUAAUUGUCUUCCCCAUUCCCAGCUGCCCCCCUCAAAUCAUUUCUUACAGGAGUUGCUUUUAUUCAUUCUCAUGUCCUAUUCUUUUCAUUUUUGGAUUAAAAUCUACUUGUUUAGUAUCUACUGCGGAGCAAAAAUGUGACCAUGCUCUUUCUGUCUUGUCAGAGGGUCAGAAGCAGCACAGGAUUCCUAGACAAGGAGCGCGGGGACCUGGCUACGCUGUCCCCGGCCUUUGCAUUGUGCUCUCCAGAAAGGCUGCACUUGGUCACAGUUUCGUUAGCAUGGCAUUCGAAUGCGGCCUCCUUGGAUUCUGGCCAGCACUGGGCACUGCUGCUGUCUUCGAGCCACUAGAACGAGGAGCUCUCAAAGGCUUGGAAGGAGUUUUGAAAGGCACCUUGGCAUCUUUGAAAGGUGGUCAUCCAGUUCCGGUGUGUGCAUCUCUAGUGAUGAACUGCUUCCUCACAAAACAGGCUAUUCCACCUUCAGACAGCUCUGCCUUGAAAAGAGCCCCAUUGUCUGACUCUUGGCUUCCCAGAAUCUCCACCAUAGGGACCAGUUUUGUGUCAUGA